rnacentral:rRNA from 1 species
UCACCGAAAAUCAAGAGUAGCGAACGGGUGAGUAACGCGUGGGUAACCUACCUAUCAGCGGGGGAUAACUAUUGGAAACGAUAGCUAAUACCGCAUAACAAUGUUGGAUGCAUAUUCGACAUUUGAAAGUACCAACUGGUACACUGAGAGAUGGACCCGCGUUGUAUUAGCUAGUUGGUAGUGUAAUGGACUACCAAGGCGAUGAUACAUAGCCGACCUGAGAGGGUGAUCGGCC